UAGGGAAUCUUCGGCAAUGGGGGCAACCCUGACCGAGCAACGCCGCGUGAGUGAAGAAGGUUUUCGGAUCGUAAAGCUCUGUUGUAAGAGAGGAACGUGUGUGAGAGUGGAAAGUUCACACAGUGACGGUAACUUACCAGAAAGGGACGGCUAACUACGUACCAG
rnacentral:rRNA from 1 species